UAAGGAAUAUUGGGCAAUGCCCGCAAGGGUGACCCAGCAACGCCGCGUGGAGGAUGAAUGUCGUAAGAUUGUAAACUCCUGUUAGAGGGGAAGAAUAGUACCGGUUGGACCGGUAUAUGACUGUACCCUCAGAGAAAGCCCCGGCUAACUACGUGCCAGCAGCCGCGGUAAUACGUAGGGGGCAAGCGUUGUCCGGAUUUACUGGGCGUAAAGCGCGUGCAGGCGGAUUGGAGAGUUGGAUGUGAAAGCUCCCGGCUUAACUGGGAGAGGUCGUUCAAUACUUCCAGUCUUGAGUGCAGUAGAGGGAAGUGGAAUUCCGGGUGUAGUGGUGAAAUGCGUAGAUAUCCGGAGGAACACCAGUGGCGAAAGCGGCUUCCUGGACUGUAACUGACGCUCAGACGCGAAAGCUAGGGUAGCAAACG
rnacentral:rRNA from 1 species